GAGACAGGUGCUGUGGGCACCCUUCACCAGCCCCAGAAGUGGAUGUCUCCUGUGUGCAGUUAUUCGAUUCUACCAGGUGGUUCUCUUUAAAGCUCUUUUCCUUGAGCCUCCGAUUUAGGAUGGAGGUGAGGGCAAGCGUCGCACGUUCCCCUUGGCCAGGCCAGUGGAACAGGGUGCGCCCAGUGCUGAGCUUUGUCUCUGGACUGUAUUGCCCUCUCCCUGGGCGAUCCAUGCAGGGUGGAGGCAGUGAAUGGUAGGGUGGACUGUCCUGGGCGUUGGGUGCCUGGAAAGGUAGGCUGUAAACCACAGGGUGCCACCUGGGCAAGUGGAGCGGGCUGGUCAGCAUCGGGGCAUGGCACCUGCUGCUACACUUCUGAGAGUGCUGCUGCACCAGCCCCUGACCUGUGCCUGGCAAGCUAGUGUGCUACAAGUGCUGGCUGGCACAGGCCCUGCACUGAGUGGCCCCACUUGCUGCUGCCCAGCUGGCGUUGGUCUGGAUGAGGCAGGGCUUCAACUAAGGGUUGCAUCCAGGUCUGGGGAGCCCCAGGCCUGCCUUUAGCCGAGCCUGGUGCCUGAGGAGCACGUGGCUUGUGACCUAGCCCAGUGAGUGCCCUGCGGCCCUAGAAGCCGCACAGAACACUUCAGGUCUGUCCUGCAGGGCUACAGAGAUGGGCGUGAGGUGGACCUGCUUGGGGUGUCAAGACAGAAGGAAGGACAGAUGCACUUCCUGGUCCUGCUACAGCGGGCAGAGGCCUGAUGUAGCCUGUUGCUGGUGCCCCUGGGCUGUUGGCUCUCUGGGCCUUUGGUGUCUAACCUGAGAAACGGGUCUGAAGGCAGAAACAUCCAGUCCUGCAUAGUGAUCACCAGGUCAGAGAACCUGUGCCCUCUCUGCCCUGGUCAGCUGGGAGGGGACAGCUGGCUCUUUUCUCAGAGCCCUCCUGUUGGCCCCCCAGGGGGCAGUGGGCAUGAGUGUUUGGGUAGGCGUCAGGGAGCGUUGUGACUGAUGGACGGCACCAGCGUCCCUGAGGCUUGUCAGCAGCAGUCAGCAAGGAGUCCCUAGUGCUGCUCCAUCCAAGCCUGUCCAAAGGGGAGCUGCCCUGUGUGGGGUGGCGGAGCCUCUGCCCUGGGGGGCACCUGGGGCCUCCCAGCAGGUUCAGUUCACCCGUGCCUGUGCCUGUGAAGCUCGCCGACAGCACUGACCCAGGAUACUGCUUGCUGGGAGCUGGGGAGGGGCAGUUCCUUUGAAGGUACGUGUGCGUGUGCAUGCGUGCUUGUGCGUGUGUGCCUUUAGCUCUCUGGCAGAGGACCUGACGUUGGAACCGAUUCAGGUGGAGACAGGAGACGUGCAGAGUUGUCCUUUGCUGAUGGGUCUCUGGAAUCCUGGGUAAUGCACCAGGUAGUUGGAACCACAUGAAACAGCUGCAGCUCAUGGGCAGAGCUGACUCGGGUGCUCACGGGUUUCCCUCCUGGACCGCUUCCCAUCUGCUGGAGCAGCCAGGCAGGGGUGGAGGCUGCAGCACACCCCGUCGCCUGCUCUGGGCCCUCCCAACACGGUACUCUGGGCCGGGUGUCACCGAGCACGAGUGUGGGGUGACUUGGUCAUGUCCCAGGGAAGCGUUUAGCCUGCUCAUUGGUGCACCUGCUGUCUCCACCUCUGUCUCCCCUCCCACACUUGGGCUGCCUGUGGCUGGCUGACUGUCCUGAUGGCUGGGGAGGUGGAGUAUCCACUGUAAUGGCAGCUGCAGCUCCUGGGCUUGGCCUACAGAUGUGGACAGUAGAGACCUGGCCAGAGUAGAGCUGGCAGGUACCCUGGCAGGUGGACCCCAGUGUGGGACACAUUGCUGAGUUAGACUGUGGCAAGAACCGACUCCUGCAGCCAGACACGUAGACUUAGCUGGCAGCAUGCAGUGCGCUAGGGGCCUGGCUGGGACAGAAAGGCGGAGGAGGGGUGGGGGGCGCAUCUGAGGAGCUGGGGCUGCUGCCAGCUCCUGCCUUGGCCCUCCUGGACCUACAGCUUGCAGCAGGAGGUUGGGGGUCUCCUUACCUCCCCAGGUGUGUGAUCUGCCUCUGUAAGUGUGGCUGUCCCUUGAUGGUCGCAGGGAAUGGGCUCCAGGACUGUGAAUCCCUUCAGAUGGCUGACCACCGUGUCAGCACAGGUAGAUGCUGUGCAGGGAGUCACUCUGUGUGGUCAGGUAACGGCAAGGGAUCAAAGACAGGCGCAGGGUGUUCCUCAGCGCUUUGGGUCUGGGACACGUUGGCUCCCGGGACGCGGGACCCACCGAGAGGAGGGCUAGCUCUCACGCACCCCUUCCACCGGGGUGAGUCUGGAGGCCAGGUGCACACACAUCCUCAGGGAGGUGCACCUGCCACAAGCCGCCUCCAAGAGGGAGGGCUGCCGAGCGCCACCACCCUCCUGGGGCUCCUGGGCCGGUGGUCCUCCUGGAGUGGGCUCCAGGGGCAGCGUCUGCAGGUUCUGCGGGUCCGCCUUCGCCAGGCUGGCGCCCCUCCCUCCUCACACUCGUGUGUGCACCAGCCUGCCACACCUGCGCCUGCUUCCCACCCCGACUGGAACCUCGCGUGGCUCUGGCUCCUCUUCCUGCGUGCUUGACUCGAGCGCCAGCUUGAAACGCCAGGCUCUUCUGCCUCAGCGGGAGUUGUCUUCCCAGGAGCCAAGGAGGAAGGCCCAUAGGGUGAGUCUGCCCGCCCCGUGCUAUUUCUGGGCCUGCGCUGGCGUCCUCUGGUCCAGGUGCCCAGUGCUGCUCACCCAGCAGCCCUCACCCACCCUGGCCCCUGUAGAUGGAGCCUGCGACAUGUAGACUUAGCUGGCGGCAUGUCCAGGCUUGAGUGUCCAGCAAUAGUUGCCUGGCACAGCAGCAGAGGCAGUGUGUGUCUCGGCUUUGUGGUGAUCCCCUAGCUAGAGCCAGGGUGUCCCUUUUAUAAUUGGAAAAGCAAACCCAGGACGAGAACGCUGGCUCCAGCCAUCACUGCCUUCGCAGGUACAGGGCUGACCUCAUUGGGGGUCAUUCGCUCAGCAUGCUGGGAUGGGGUUGAGGCCUCCUGUCGCUCCUGCUCAGAGUCACUGCAGUGACCAGAAGGGUCUCUAAAGAAGGAUGUGAGCAUAAACCCAGUUUUAAAGCUACCGUGGGCUGAUUUCACAGCAGCCUUGCCGUGCCUGUGGCCUGGCUCAGAGGACAUUCCCACACAGCCUUGAUGUUCUGUCUCUCUGCAGAGCAAGCAGGACAGAGCCCCGUGGUGGGUGCUUGGAGCUGGGACAAGUCCUGCUGGAGGAGGGGCUGGCCAGCAAGCUCUGGGUGGGAGGGCAUCCUGUCUCAUAGCUGCAGGCCCUGGAGGGCAGGGUGGGUGACAAUGCUGGCUGCUGUGACGCACCAGGGUGAGGGACCCUGGGCAGCUGGGCUUCGAGCAGGGCUGUGGGGCAAGUGCAGAGCCCGCCUGCUGUGGUCAGCAUGUUCCGACUGGCUGUGCCAGCUGUGCACAGUUGGGAGCCCUCACUCCCAAGGCCCGCUGGACCUCCUCAUCUGUCUGCCAACAUGAUAACCUGGUGAGCAGGGUGGCAGGAGGAGGCCCCAGGCUGGGGGCACAGCAGGGAGGGCCGAGGCCUCAGUGGACGGGGCCUGGUGAAUUCCUGGGCAGGAGUGGAGCAGGUUCUGGAGUGAGGGUGGGGUUCAGGGAGGCAGGGUCUUCUGAACCCAGCCUGGUGGGGCUGAGGCCGGCUCUGCAGCCCAGGGUCCAGAUUUGCCUUCUGAGAGGUUCACCGUUAGCUGUUGGAGAAAGGGAUUGCGGGCAGGAGAUCCGGAGAAGGGGCUGAGCGGGGAGCAAGCUGCCUCGCGGGAAGGUUCUCAGGGCCACUCAUCUGAUGAGCGCCGCACGCAUCCUGCACCUGGGGAGGGCAAGGGUGCCGGGCCGGUGGGCACACUGCAGUCUGUGGACCCAGAGUAGCGGCAUCUGGAGGCCCCUUGUGACCAGGCCCCCGGCUGCUCACAGAAGCCUCCAGUGGGGCAGAGGCCUCCAGCCCCUGCCACCUCUGUGCCACACCCGCAGGCUGGCAUCCGGUCUAUCAGAUAGUGUUGUGCUUACCCAGCAGCGCGCAAUGGGGCCAGCUUCAAGUAUUUUCAUGUACCCUCGAGACAAUGAUUAAAAAGUAAUUAACCUAAAUUUA
rnacentral:lncRNA from 1 species